CCAGACUGGGGACGCCGCCGUGCGGAGAUACACCAACAUGUCUUAAGCAUCUUUGCAGUAUUUCAAGUAAACGUGACAUUUUGAUGUUUGAGAAAAGUCACAGCUGAAGGGGGUCGUGGGGGUGUGGAGCGUACCCCAGAUGCUAUGGACACAAGGAAGGGAACAACCCAGGAUAUGGUGUCAUCCCAUUGCAGGGCACACUCACACACCAAAUCCAAUUCACCUUAGCAUGUCUUUGGACUGUGGUGGAGGGGUACCCUGAGCACCCAGGGGGGCGGACCCAGGGAGAACAUCUAAACUCCACGCAUGGAACCAGGGGGACACUCAAACCCUGGUCCCAUAGAGAGCGCCAGUAAUCAGAGGGGCGCUGUACCUACGUUUGAACCCUAGCAGAGCGACCAGACCCAGUAGCAGCAGGAAGAGGAGUGAGACAGAAAGGUACAGCGCAGGGCUGUAAACAUGGA